rnacentral:rRNA from 1 species
UACGUAGGGGGCUAGCGUUGUCCGGAAUCAUUGGGCGUAAAGAGCGUGUAGGCGGUCCGGUAAGUCCGCUGUGAAAGUCGGGGGCUCAACCCUCGAAUGCCGGUGGAUACUGUCGGGCUAGAGUGCGGAAGAGGCGAGUGGAAUUCCUGGUGUAGCGGUGAAAUGCGCAGAUAUCAGGAGGAACACCGGUGGCGAAGGCGGUUCUCUGGGCCUGACCUGACGCUGAGGAGCGAAAGCGUGGGGAGCGAACAGG